GCGGACGUGGCGGAACUGGUAGACGCGCCAGACUUAGGAUCUGGUGGGGCAACCCCGUGGGAGUUCGAGUCUCCCCGUCCGCACCA
rnacentral:tRNA from 2 species